rnacentral:rRNA from 1 species
GCGAGUCACUGUCGUGCAGCCGCGGGAAGACGUAUGGGGCAAGCGUUAAGCGGAAUUACUGGGCGUAAAGUGUGCGCAGGUGGCUGAGCAAGUCGUGUAUGAAAUCCCCGGGCUUAACUUGGGAAUUGCGCUCGAAACUACUUGGCUCGAGUGUGGCAGAGGAAGGUGGAAUUCCACGUGUAGCGGUGAAAUGCGUAGAGAUGUGGAGGAACACCGAUGGCGAAGGCAGCCUUCUGGGCCAACACUGACGCUCAUGCACGAAAGCGUGGGGAGCAAACAGGAUUAGAUACCCCUGUAGUC